AGUGGACGCUGGCGGUAGGCCUAACACAUGCAAGUCGAACGGCAGCACAGUAAGAGCUUGCUCUUACGGGUGGCGAGUGGCGGACGGGUGAGGCAUACAUCGGAAUCUACUUUUUCGUGGGGGAUAACGUAGGGAAACUUACGCUAAUACCGCAUACGACCUACGGGUGAAAGCAGGAGAUCUUCGGACCUUGCGCGACUGAAUGAGCCGAUGUCGGAUUAGCUAGUUGGCGGGGUAAAGGCCCACCAAGGCGACGAUCCGUAGCUGGUCUGAGAGGAUGAUCAGCCACACUGGAACUGAGACACGGUCCAGACUCCUACGGGAGGCAGCAGUGGGGAAUAUUGGACAAUGGGCGCAAGCCUGAUCCAGCCAUACCGCGUGGGUGAAGAAGGCCUUCGGGUUGUAAAGCCCUUUUGUUGGGAAAGAAAAGCAGCAGGUUAAUACCCCGCUGUUCUGACGGUACCCAAAGAAUAAGCACCGGCUAACUUCGUG
rnacentral:rRNA from 1 species